rnacentral:rRNA from 1 species
AUGUCUGCCGCGGGCCUGCCUUCUAGCAGCCGAGCCCCACCUCAAAAAAGAAAAAAAAAACCAAACAAACAGCCGAGCCUUAUCCUGUCUGCUUCCCUGAGCUCGCAUUCUUCCCUGAGCCUUAUCCUAUCGAGCCCCACUCUCUACCUCUGUUGUUUCUUCUGCGGCGCUCGGUCCCCGAAAAGUACCCCGCCGACUCCCAGGUGCUCCUCCUUGCUCAAUCUUCUCGCCUACUCCUUGUCAAACCCCUGUAGUGGCGGUGUACAGAGACAUCUCUCUCUUGCUCUCUCUCUACUUCCAAUCUGA